UAUAUUCCUGGGGCCCAGGAUAGCACCUGGUGCAAAGCAGUGUUUAAUGCGUGAUUAUCAUGGCAUUGAUGAUUCAGUUUGUGGUUCUCCAAUUCCCUGCUUGAGAUGAGCAGAUACUCCUCAGAAACCAAAGCACUAGGAAGCCAGGAGGUCAAAGACAUUUCUCAACCCCAGCAAGUAGCUGGGGACACCUGGGUCACAUCAAGAUAUGAGGGUUGUAUCCCAGCAGAAGAAACAGCAUCAUUUUCUAAAACAGAGUGAAGGUGAAAGAACCGGGCAAGGCUGGAGGAAAGAACAUGGACUCCCUGGGAGACUCCCUUCAGCCUGGGGGAAGCUCUGGAGCAUGAGCUACACCACAUUGCUCUGCUCAUCUCUCCCUUGAGAGAGGGAGCCUGCGCUGUGUACUCCAAGUCAAAUGACUCUCCAUGUGUUUUGGAAAAACCUGGUGUACAAGAACUGGCUGCCAAAGCUGGAAGAGAUGCAGAGACCAAAAAAGGAGGACAAAUGGAUUGGAAUGCUGUCAGGGUUACCUAAUGGGCAAGAUGGCUGCUGCAUCCAAGAUGGGUGCAUUUGUGUUAAGCUGAAUCCCAUACACCAUGCUUCUUGGAUCCACCCUCUGAGGUUUUGAUUUUACCUUCAGAUCCUUCCUUCCUGUUGCAUUAAAAGAAACUCAUGUUUUACAGGUGAUACAGCCUUUCUGCCUAUGAAAAUUUUGGUAUCUGAAGGCGUCUUUCC